rfam:Solanum lycopersicum cultivar Heinz 1706 chromosome 10, whole genome shotgun sequence.
CCGACCUUAGCUCAGUUGGUAGAGCGGAAGACUGUAGUGGCACUGCUGAAAUCUUUUGGUCGCUGGUUUGAAUCCGGCAGGUCGGA